rnacentral:rRNA from 1 species
GAUAAACGCUGGCGGCGUGCCUAACACAUGCAAGUCGAACGAUCCCGCAAGGGAGAGUGGCGGAAGGGUGAGUAACACGUGGGAAUCUACCUCCUCGCAGGGAACAACCUCUCGAAAGAGAGGCUAAUACCCAAAGGGUCAGAAAUGAUCAGAGUCGAAAGGCGUGAGGAGAGGAGCCCGCGGCCCAUCAGCUAGUUGGUGAGGUAAUGGCUUACCAAGGCUACGACGGGUAGGGGAUCUGAGAGGAUGUCCUCCACACUGGAACUGAAACACGGUCCAGACGCCUACGGGUGGCAGCAGUGAGGAAUAUUGGACAAUGGGCGAAAGCCCGAUCCAGCAACGCCGCGUGGAGGAUGAAGGCCUUCGGGUCGGUAAACUUCUUUAGAGGGAGACGAGAAAGGACGGUAUCCCUAGAAUAAGCGACGGCAAACUAACGUGCCAGCAGCCGCGGUAA